rnacentral:lncRNA from 1 species
GAGCCAACAGAUAAAGUUUGUUUUAUUUACGAUUACAGUAAAUUACAGCGAUCUUGGGCCAAACUAGCAAUUUGGAGAUUAAUAAUUAUUUUUUAUAAGUUGAUCUAAGCACGAAUUGCUGCAGGUAAAAUUAGACUUAAUGUUCGCGAUCGAGACCCAAUUGUACAAAUUGUAGAGUAAGAACACAAUAGGCAGCACGGCUUGACAACUUGAGCGCGAUCCGAUGGAGCGGCCGGCAGUAGCUCCCCAACACAGGUGGGGAAGAUGUCAGACAUGCACAGAUUCCCAAAAUGACGUCCUAGUCACUUUGGCCGAUUCAAUGUGUCCUUACCCUAUCAGAGGUCUGAGAAACGUGGACACUGCUGUGCGUUGUGAAGGAAACCGAACUUAGCGAUGCUCCGCAGAGUUUGCAUAUCGUUAGUCUGCGGGUGUCAGAUGGAUGUGAUUUCCUGAAUUUCAAGUGCUGCGCGAUGCACCUACCAGAAAACCACCACUGCAACAGUUAAUACCAGAAUAACAGUCAGCACUCCCCAAUGACUCGUCGAGUAACUUUGCCGAUUAUCGUCUACCAAGAAGGGACACACAAUUAUCAAUUGACGAUACUAGAGUAGCUUCUGCUAACCCUCGACACAAUCCACCACCAUCUCACACCCCUGGGCUCUUAUUCCAACCUUCACCACCACCCGCCGAUUCACAGAAGCUUGCAGGCUUUAGCAGCAUCCACCCAGCAAAGUGGUCACUUGCAUGACGAUCAAAUGGUCAGACAACGACAGGCUAAUCUUAAUUCUCAAUAGCGACUAGAGUUCAUGCACCUUCCCUACGCGCACAGCAUUAAAUCCAGACACACCACCAUCUGUCGCAUCUAACCUCUAGCCUCCCCCCACCCCUCUAUCGCAAUAGCUAGGUAUCCAACCUACACACCACCCAGGCACAUGACCAUCCCACUCCCACGACAUAGGUCCUCCUUCUCAC